UAAAGAGCUCGUAGGUGGUUUGUCGCGUUGUUCGUGAAAUCUCACGGCUUAACUGUGAGCGUGCGGGCGAUACGGGCAGACUUGAGUACUGCAGGGGAGACUGGAAUUCCUGGUGUAGCGGUGGAAUGCGCAGAUAUCAGGAGGAACACCGGUGGCGAAGGCGGGUCUCUGGGCAGUAACUGACGCUGAGGAGCGAAAGCGUGGGGAGCGAACAGGAUUAGAUACCCUGGUAGUCCACGCCGUAAACGGUGGGUACUAGGUGUGGGUUUCCUUCCUUGGGAUCCGUGCCGUAGCUAACGCAUUAAGUACCCCGCCUGGGGAGUACGGCCGCAAGGCUAAAACUCAAAGAAAUUGACGGGGGCCCGCACAAGCGGCGGAGCAUGUGGAUUAAUUCGAUGCAACGCGAAGAACCUUACCUGGGUUUGACAUGCACAGGACGCCGGCAGAGAUGUCGGUUCCCUUGUGGCCUGUGUGCAGGUGGUGCAUGGCUGUCGUCAGCUCGUGUCGUGAGAUGUUGGGUUAAGUCCCGCAACGAGCGCAACCCUUGUCUCAUGUUGCCAGCGGGUAAUGCCGGGGACUCGUGAGAGACUGCCGGGGUCAACUCGGAGGAAGGUGGGGAUGACGUCAAGUCAUCAUGCCCCUUAUGUCCAGGGCUUCACACAUGCUACAAUGGCCGGUACAAAGGGCUGCGAUGCCGCGAGGUUAAGCGAAUCCUUUUAAAGCCGGUCUCAGUUCGGAUCGGGGUCUGCAACUCGACCCCGUGAAGUCGGAGUCGCUAGU
rnacentral:rRNA from 2 species